AACGAACGCUGGCGGCAUGCCUAACACAUGCAAGUCGAACGAGACCCUCGGGUCUAGCGGCGCACGGGUGCGUAACGCGUGGGAAUCUGCCCUUGGGUUCGGAAUAACUUCGGGAAACUGAAGCUAAUACCGGAUGAUGACGUAAGUCCAAAGAUUUAUCGCCCAAGGAUGAGCCCGCGUAGGAUUAGCUAGUUGGUGAGGUAAAGGCUCACCAAGGCGACGAUCCUUAGCUGGUCUGAGAGGAUGAUCAGCCACACUGGGACUGAGACACGGCCCAGACUCCUACGGGAGGCAGCAGUGGGGAAUAUUGGACAAUGGGCGUAAGCCUGAUCCAGCAAUGCCGCGUGAGUGAUGAAGGCCUUAGGGUUGUAAAGCUCUUUUACCCGGGAUGAUAAUGACAGUACCGGGAGAAUAAGCUCCGGCUAACUCCGUGCCAGCCGCCGCGGUAA
rnacentral:rRNA from 1 species